rnacentral:lncRNA from 1 species
UAACCCAUUUCGACCCAUUAACAAAAAAAUUAUUUUGAUAAUUUUAAAGUUUAAUUACCAAAAGAUUUAUUAUAAAAUACAAUAGCCAUAUUAAUAUAUACAAUAUAUUCUAUAUUAAAUAUAUAGUUUUGUAUUAUUAUUCUAUAUAAGUUUUAAAAAAAAAGUUUUAGUCAUUAUUUAUUUUUAUUAUGAGAGUUUCUUAUUAUCAUUACUAGGAUAAAUUUUACUUAACAUGUGGUUGUCCGAAAUUAAAAUAAAUUAAUAUAGUAUUUGUAUAGGUAAGAACUAAGAAGACAUACAUAUAAGUAUGAAAAAUGUGAAAGAAUAUAUAAACACUCGUGAUUCAUCAUUAUUCCUCCACGAGUAGAUAAUGGUUACACUUACAUUAUCGUUUAGAUUUUUAAAAUCCUCCAAACCUUCAUAAAUAAUGUUUUUUUAUUUGAGGGUAAAAUUAAUAAUAAUUAUUGUAGAAGUGUAAACAAUGUAAAAAAAAAUAUACAAUCACUCAUAGUGACAAACUUUACAACUUUCAUGAAGGGGUCAGCUUCGGAAUCCAACACUAUAAUUCAUAAACCUUAAAUUUAUAUUUAACCGUCGAUUGCCAUUUACACUUUAUUCUUCUUACUGAAUUUCAAUUUUAAAAUUUUCUUUUUUGAAAACAUAAUCAUCUGGUGGAUGUAAGAAGAUGAACAGUUCAGAUUUUUGAUAUCACAUUUCGAUAUUUACGGUUAACUAAAAUAAGAGUCGAUGUCAUAUAGUUUGUAGAAACUUUAUAAACAUCAAGCAAUAUUUUCACUAACCGUAAAACUCUGAAUAUAAUAUCAACAAUUCAAACCGUUCAUCUUCCUGCAUCCUGUGACAACCCGUUCCAAAAUUUACGUUUUUAUUAAUUUUAGAAGCGUGAAUUUACGAAAAUGCCCUAGAGGUAAAGAUUUUGACUACUGUUUGACCAUCAUCUAGAGAGACAUAUGACUUAUUCUUUUAGCAUAUCCUCGUAGUACUCGAUGCAAACGGAUAGGCGAAAGCCGUUUGCAAGUCUGGAUUAUAACGGUAUAGUUAUGAACGUUUGAAGUUGGUUAUUAAGAGUUAGUUAAAAGAUUAAGAAUGACCAAUUAGAUGAAAAAGAAGAAAAGGGCAACAGCCCAAUUAGAAAUAAGAAAGAAGAAAAAAAAGAAAAGGGGAAAAGCUGGAGCUUUUCCCGUGGGUUUUCCGUCCGUACACCUCCACGACCACCCAUCUUCCAAGGCCGAUUCCUGCCAACUCCAAUGGAGUUUUUUGACACCACCACCACCAUCUUGAAGCUCUCAUUCCCCUAUACAAAACCCACCCAAGAACCACCUUGAUUAACGAUGGUAUGUGGCGGUUUGAGGCCAUGAAAGUCAACGAAAAUCAACAAUGCUCCGACCAACCUUUUCAAUUUUCCAGCGAAUUGGCAAAGCGAUGGCCGACACCACCACUUGGUCUUUGUAGCCCAUCAUCCCAGGAGAAAAAUCCAACCAACCUUGACCCCGUUGGACCACCGUAGACAACGAAUCGACAUCGGGAAGUUUUAGGCACCCGCCGGCUUCGUGGGAAAAAGUGACCAUCUUCCGUCCACUUUUUGACUUUGUGGCAGGUAUGAAAGUUGUUCCUCUCUUUGAGAUCUUCAUUCCUGUAAAUUUUGGUAAUUUUUGGAAAUAGUUGAAUUUUCUGGCGAGUCAGGGCGGCCGACCGCCACCUGUGUCGGCGCGUGCGGCGACGCACGUCCAGUGGGCCUCCAAUGCUAUUUUUAUUCUAUGUUAAAUGUCUUGAAUUCAGUUUUUAUAUUUGAAUGUCGUAGGUUGAUCGUUGGAACCUAAAUUCUCUACGAUACGUUAAUUGGUCAUUGUAUGAAUCGAUGAUCCAACUGUUUGAUCAUCACCAAACUUUAAUAUAUUUUAGUACGUAAUAUUUGAGGACCAUAGGAACUUACGGAUCAAAAAUUUGAUAUACGGAUCUUCCCAAAUUGAAUUUGUAAGUUCAUGAAAUAAAAGGUUAACCGCCACUUAGUUUUGGCAAUUGGCGGAGAUCCGACCGUUGGAUCGUAAUGGGACUUUAAGAUGUUGUUCUAGAGGUAUAGUGUAUCUUUGGAAGCAACGGAUCGGAAAUCUGUGAUGCAGAUCUUCCAAAUUGAAAUACGUAAGGAUGUGUUUUAUGUAAAUUGUGUAUUUUAUUGGUAUGAACUCUGAUAUGUGAUUUGAUAAUUGGUCAUAGGCGACGAUGGCUCAUGAUGUCUCGACAUGCGUGCUAGGGAGUCGUGGCACGAACCUAAGGUGAGUGGGUCUUUUCCUUUCUACUGUAUAUUAUAUAUAUAUAUAUAUAUAUAUAUAUAUAUUAUUCACAAUUCCAUAAAUGUUUAUAAAUUGAUUAUUGUUUAUGAUUACUGUGAAUGCUUUGAAAUACUAUUGCAAACUACAAAUGGCUUGAUCCCGGUUUAGGGUACGUAGGUAGUUUAACGAGACGUUAGAUGCAGCCAUAUAAUAAAUGAGAAUGAAUAAUCGAGACAAUAGCCUAGUUUGGGAAUGGGACAUUACAGUUUAUGCAUUCAAGACCAUUUGUUUAUAUGUUUAUAUAUCUGGAAAUAUUAUGAUAUGUUGAAUUUAGACUUACAUCCUGGUAUUUCCAUCUAUAUAUUCUUUGCACAUAAUUAUUGUGAACGCUCUGAAGUGCAAAGGUGAACGCAGGACACACAGGUAAGUUCAGGUAAGCAUACGGUAUUAGUUGAAUUGAUGGGGUUAUGGUAUGACUACAUUUAUGUUUUUAAGCAUCUCCGACACUGUCGUGUAGGUUGCAAUAGUAGGCAACUCCGGCAUUGUCGUACAGGUUGCUUAUGAAUCGUACAUGUUGUAUUAGAUGCAUUUAAAGCUCAUAAACCUGCACCCCGAUGUUAGUGUUUCCACCCGUGGCCAGGGCACAAUCCUUCACGUAAUGUUCACAUCCCACACCAUACGCUCACCUUGAAUUCAAGGUAAGUGCACAGGCCUGUCGUACAGACCACUAUAGGUGGUUCCGACUCGUAGGUGACUCUUAACGUGAUCGUAGCACUUGAGCGUAUUCAUUUACACCCAGUCAUGUCGUACAGACCACUACAGUGGUUCCAACUCGUGUGCAGGCGUAAUGCCGUAUAGGUCACUAUAGGUGACUCUGACUAGAUUGAUUGAUGAGAUAUGAAUAUGUCGUAUAGGUCACUAUAGGUGACUCCGGCUAGAUUGAUUGAUGAGAUAUGAAUAUGUCGUACAGGUCACUAGAGGUGACUUCUGACUUAUGAGCUAGCAUUGAUUGAUGAUAUAUGAUUAUAGUCGUACAAGUCACUAGAGGUGACUCCGACUUAUGAGCUAGCAUUGAUUGAUGAGAUAUGAUUAUAGUCGUACAGGUUACUAGAGGUGACUCUGACUUAUGAGCUAGUAUAUGUGAUGAGAUAUGAGACGAGCUAGCAUAUGUUAUGAGCUAGCAUAUGUUAUGAGCUAGCAUAUGUGAUGAAAUAUGUUAUGAGCUAGCAUAUGUGAUGAAAUAUGUGAUGAACUAGCAUAUGUGAUACGAUAUGUGAUGAGCUAGCAUAUUGAUGAAAUAUAGGUAAGUCGUACAGGUCACUAUAGGUGACUCCGACUUAUAAGUUAACAUCGAUUGAUGAGAUAUGGGUACCGUCGUACAAGUCACCAUAGGUGACUCCAACUUGUGUACUAGUAUGGGUUGUUAAUCACAUGAUUAUUGAUAUUGCUGAUGAGAUGUUGUGUUGUGGUAUAUUUAUGAUUUUUCUGGAAACUAUACAGGUGUUGUAUCGAGGGGUUAUAAUGUUUUAUAUGGUUCUACUAAACUUUUAUCUCCAGGGCCACUCACCCUUGUUUUGUUUUCACCCUCCAUGUUUUAUUACCUAAGCUUUCUUAUCAUUGAAUAUUCAUGGCAAUUCUUAGUAUUGAAGAUUCUUUCGAGGGUACGAUUCUUAAUCCCUUCUACUGUACUUACUUAUGCUCUAACGUCGCGUGUGAAGUGGGUUCCUUCCCGCUCACCAGCGCACUCUAGUAUUUAGGCACUCUUAGGUUUAAAUUUAUUCACAUUUUUCCACAUCUUCAUACUUUAUGGCUUCGUCACCCUUCAGGUGUCGGCCAGCACAGCUCGAUUCGGAGUCCUAGUGGACACCCCAGGUCGGGGUGUGUCACAUCCUCUAAUAGAUCAAGUUUUCAAAAAACAAAAUCUGAAAAAACAAAAUUUGAUAAGAACAAUGAAGCGUAAAUGUAAACAACAAUCAACGGUUAAAUUUUGAUCUAUGAUUUAUAUGAUUAUAGUGGUGAAUUUCAAGUUAAGCUCUUCAUGAAAAUUGUAAAGCUUAUCAUUACGAGCAUUAUAUAUUUUUUUCUAUAUUUUUUUACACUUCUACAUUAAUUAAAAAACUAUUAAAGAUUUUAGGUAAGUGAAAAUAUACUUAAAAGAAAAUUGUGUUUUUAUGUUUUGGAUGUGACAAUAUGGUAAGUAUAUACUUAUUUAGUAUUAUAUUUUUCAUUUGAUUAUUUAUUGGUUUAAAAUAUAUUUUCCUUAACGGGUGACGGGUCGGGUCAUAUUACCUGUUAAUAUUAUCGGGUCAAUUUCGGGUCGGGUCAUUUUACCCGUUUAUUUUAACGGAUGUUACACGACACGACCAGUUAAGAUACCGGGUAUGACACGAAAGCAACACGAACACGGAAAACACGACACGAAUGCCAAGUCAAUACGGUCUAGUAGUAUUUCUCUUCACUUAUAAGUAAGAGGUCUUAGGUUCGAUUCUCACUAAAGGCGAGUUUGAACCACAUACUUGCUAGCCCAGUUGUCAAGCUAAGCAUAUCCCCUCCCGCUUAGUGUAGAUAAUAUUAUUUAUUAAAAAAAUAAAAAUAAAAAUAAAAUAGAAAGAGAGAACACUGCUAUAGUUCCUACCAAUGUUUCUCAUGAAAAGCAUGAUAUGUAUCAUUUUGGCGCUUAAAUGUAAAAUAUAUUUAGAAAAAACAAAACAUGGAUAUUCCAUGACCUUGGCGUUAAUCUACCGCCCUUCUCAUGAUCGGAGAGGAUCUUAUCUGUCAAAGAUUCCAAAUUUACUGAGUAUCUUACUUGCUAAUGAUACUAAAUUGCUGAGUCGGCACCGGAGACAAAAUCAAAGUGAUACUACUAGAAUCAUUAACAUUAAAUAAUCCUUAAACGAUGAAAAUAUAUAGAUGUCUCUGUUGGGAUGUGUGUACCACUGAGUCUUUUAUAUUUUCAGGGUUCAACAUCUAAAGGUCAACAAUAUUAGUUAUAAGCUCCUCUGGCAAAGGUUACAAUGGAAAACGAAACGCAUGCGUAAGCCCCCUUGCAUGUUAAUAGCUUAGAGGAUAUAGUUUCACAAACAAAAGAUAUCUAAUCACACUUGAUGAGUCAAUAUUUUAUUAUAUAUUUUACCUUAAUCUUAGUUAUAAUUUAUUAGUUAUUUUGGUAGAAUUUUGAUACUUUGCUUUAUAUUUUUAACAUAGGACAUUUGACUUCCUCUAGAGCAAAACGUGACCAAACGGACAAAUUUUGGAGUGAUUCAAAUUUUAGGAUGUUCGUGUAUUCCUUAUCUUGUUCGUGUCAAAAUUUGGAAUUUUUCUACCAAGCGAUUAUUUUCUGGUGAUUAAAUGAAGGAGCAGUGCACUUUGCUGGAAAGUGACGUUUCUGGGCUUAAACUGCAUUUUUGGAGCCUAAUAUGACCUCAUAUGGGUUCGUGGCCUUCUGGAGAAGUGUUCAGAAUAGUCCAAGCUUUAAAUCCAGCUAUUUUGGGCCAGUUUUGGAGCUGAUUUGGGUCCAAAACGUGGCUGUGCAGAUUUUUGGGCGAAUUUACCAAAUUAAUUUAGGAUUCUGUUUCAUAUUUUAUUUCAAUUUAUUAGGUUUCCUAGUUUUAUUCUAAGACAUUUUAGGGUUUUAUUUUGUAUUAGUAUAAAUAAGAUAUUUAGCCAUUAGGUUAAAAAAAAGAGAGGGAGAACGCACACUACUUUGGAGGAUUCAAGUUUACUUUCAAGGUGUUUUCUAUCCAUGUUAUUAAUAAUAUUUUGUUUUAUGAUUGGUCGUAACUAGUUUUGUUUGCUAGGGCAAGGCCAUGAGCUUUAGCAAGAAUAUGUAGUUUCUUUUCAAUUUACUUAUGAUAUUAUGCAUGCAAGUUUUGAAUUAUUAAUCACUGUGCUUUAAACUAUCUAAUUGUCUUGAUGAUUGGCCACCAUUAGGGUAUUUAGAAAAGUAAUUUGAUGCAAUUUUGGCGAAGGGCUGUCCCUGAAAUGGGCACUGGCUUCUUGUGGUUAAUAUGUGUAACUUCUUAGGAUGGACAACACGUUUUAAGAGUUAUGUGGUUUUUCAAAAGGUUUUCACAAAACUUAAUGAGUCUUGCAUGUUCACAUUCGAUCUGAACGCCACGGACGGGUUGCAUAUUAGAUAUACGUUCUAUGUUGGAGGUUCCAAGUAGGGCAUACUUUAGGAAAACCUAACCUUCAAAAUAUGCAUGUGUAAUUCAUAAGUAAUUGAAAGAACUACGUAGGAUUGUUAAGGUGACGGCGGAACCCUAGUGCUCAAAUUUUAUUUUCAAAACUAUUUUCUUUUGUUUUAUUUAUUUUCCCAAUUUAUUUAAUUGUUUUUAAUUAAAUUCGUUUUUAAUAUUUUAGAUCAUAAAAUCAUCUUUUUUCUAAACUUUGUUUUCAAAUAAUUAAUUAAGAUUUGGUUUUAACAUAAAUUAUUCAUUCAAUCCCUGUGGAGAUCGACCUUGCUUGAGCUGCUAUACUACGAUAACCUUGUACUCUUGCAAGUAUUUAAAGUGUUUUUAUCCCUACUUUUGCAGGUGGUAAAAUCCCUAUCAAGCUAAGCAUAUCCCUUCCCCCUUAGUGUAGAUAAUAUUAUUUGUUAAAAAAAAUAAAAAUAAAAAUAAAAUAAAAAGAGAGAACACUGCUAUAGUUCCUACCAAUGUUUCUCAUGAAAAGCAUGAUAUGUAUUAUUUUGGCGCUUAAAUGUAAAAUAUAUUUAGGAAAAAAAAACAUGGAUAUUCCAUGACCUUGGAGUUAAUCUACCGCCCUUCUCAUGAUCGGAUAGGAUCUUAUCUGUCAAAGAUUCCAAAUUUACUGAGUAUCUUACUUGCUAAUGAUACUAAAUUGCUGAGUCGGCACCGGAGACCAAAUCAAAGUGAUGCUACUAGAAUCAUUAACAUUAAAUAAUCCUUAAACGAUGAAAAAAAAUAGAUGUCUCUGUUGGGAUGUGUGUACCACUGAGUCUUUUAUAUUUUCAGGGUUCAACAUCUAAAGGUCAACAAUAUUAGUUAUAAGCUCCUCUGGCAAAGGUUACAAUGGAAAACGAAACGCAUGUGAAAGCCCCCUUGCAUGUUAAUAGCUUAGAGGAUAUAGUUUCACAAACAAAAGAUAUCUAAUCACACUUCUUAAUUAUAUUUAGCUCAAUUUAAGAACUAAAGAGAAAAGUAGAAAUAAACGAACGAAAGGGGUUUUUUGGAUUGAAAAAAGAAAAGAAAAACAAUUGCAGGUUUCUAUUUUUGUUUUGAACUGGUUGGAGAACUUGGAGUUGAUUAUACUUGUAGUAUAUAUAUAUGGUGUAACCAAGAAAUUAUAUCUUCAAGUCCAUAGGUGAGGAACAUAAAAAUGGCCCUCAAAUAUGCAUCAGUGCACAGAACAUGACAAAAUUUAACAUAAAUUCUAACAGAUUUGAUGGUAUGGGGUGGAGUUGAACAUUUUGAAAGUUUUGGGGGGUUGGAAAAAUUCAAGGUGCAAUUUGGAACGAGGUCACAUAAGUUCAUGUCAUGGGAUACUGCUAGUCCCUAAAUUUUAUUUGAGAGUUGAUAACUUUCUUUUUUGUAUUUAUUUUUCAAUUUGGAAAAGCGACUCUUUUAGUGUUAAUUUUGUUCUACAUUCAAAUGAUGUUUACCCCUUUUGGCUUUUUUGCACACAAUGGUUUACUUGUUUAGACUGUAUUCGUGAGAUAACUUUUACUACUUUCAUAUCUUUCGAGAAGAAAAUUUUGUUGCAGAUAGCUUUGCUAAAAUAGGCAUGUCUUCUUCCCUUUUAAUUUGACAUCAUUCUCCUUUGUCGGUGGCUUGUGCUGCUUUGUAUUCGAACUUUGCUAGCUUGCAUGUCUUUUGCAUUUCAAAUUAAUGCGUCAUCCGCCUUUCAGGUGGCGGAUUGCUUAGCCAAUUAUGGACUUCAUCAUCCAUGUGGUUUAUCAGCAUUUGGCUUGGCUUGGUUUGGUACUUUGGUUCCAGGUGGAUGAUGUAUUGUUUUGAUUUUGUCCUCCUGCUUGUAUUUAUUUUUUAUCGCUCUUUUUGUUUAAUUAAAUUUUGAAGAUAAGGGAUAGUGGGGUCGUUUUAUUGGGGAGUUAACUCUUUCUAAUCGCUCUUGACAGGAAAAAAGUAGUUUACUUUGUAGUUUUCAUUUUUUCUUCUAACCGUUUGUGCAAGUUUGGAGAGUAGGGUUACUAUAUGGCUCGACUUGCCUAAUCUGUUAUUUUUAUUUAAUAAAAUAAAAUAAAAAAGUUUUAGAGAAAGAAAGUAUGCGUGAGAAAUGAAAAAAAUGAAUAGGUGUGGAGAAAGGGUGGUGAGAGAUACGUGGGAGAA